AUGCACGGCGGAAAUAUCAAAUAUUUCAUCUAGUCGCCUUUACCUUACUCGCCAGCUCAGUAACACUUAUUUGAUUUUCCCAAGUUUCCUGCUGGCAAAUGAAUAUACAAAAUAAAAUAAAUAUGUUUGAAAUCACAAACUGCACGGUUUCCUACGUCAACGAUUGUGUGGAGCGCUCAUUGUUGCUCUCAAUCUUCCAAAAAAAUGCCACAUGGAUUGUCUUAUGUGUACUGCUUGUUUGUUGGUUAGUGAUCCCUAGUUUAUACGAGCCUAUCGAGUGCUUGCUCCAUACGAUUUUUAAUAUAAUAUGCAAAUUGAUGAUCAAAUACUUCGAGUACAAUCCGGUGGUCCCAACGCGUCGAAUGUUUUUCGGAAAUAAGAAGACAUUGCUAGUGGAUUUGAAAGCGCUAGUAUCUAUAAACUAUACAGAAGGUUUACAGAGAGUAUGCGGUGUGCCCUGUGACUAUAGUAUCCAUAUGCCCGAAAACCACAUCACAUUACAGAUCUUCAAGCGUCCCUUUCUUGAUUUUUUCCUUGAGACUGUCUCCAAAUGGUACACUGUCGUCAUAUACCACGAUGUGGAGAACAAAUACGCAACGCAGGUACUUGACGUUCUGGAUCCCGAUCGGAAUAUAUUGGAGCGACGCUUGGCUUGUCGCUCCAGCUUAUAUCCUGGCCUGAGGGCUGACUACAUUUCGCUGGCUUUUCCCCAUCUUCGAGAAUUCAUAUUGUUGGAUGGUGCUACUAAUUUCGGCUUGUGCUAUCAUGGCAAUUGCAUCUAUAUCAAGAAUUAUCAGAUCGGCGACUGGGAUAUGCGAUUCCUGUUCCUAUUGCCCGUCUUGGACUGUCUUCGCUUUGUCAAGGAUGUGGAUGAUACCUUGAAACGGUGCAAAUUAUUGGCAUGGUGUUGCCUCAAGUGUUGCAAAUAAGGGAAUGUAACAAUAAAAACCAUUACGUCACGACUAA